AUUGAACGCUGGCGGCAGGCUUAACACAUGCAAGUCGAGCGGUAACAGGAGAAGCUUGCUUCUCGCUGACGAGCGGCGGACGGGUGAGUAAUACUUAGGAAUCUACCUAGUAGUGGGGGAUAGCUCGGGGAAACUCGAAUUAAUACCGCAUACGACCUACGGGAGAAAGGGGGCAACUUGUUGCUCUCGCUAUUAGAUGAGCCUAAGUCGGAUUAGCUAGAUGGUGGGGUAAAGGCCUACCAUGGCGACGAUCUGUAGCUGGUCUGAGAGGAUGAUCAGCCACACCGGGACUGAGACACGGCCCGGACUCCUACGGGAGGCAGCAGUGGGGAAUAUUGGACAAUGGGGGCAACCCUGAUCCAGCCAUGCCGCGUGUGUGAAGAAGGCCUUUUGGUUGUAAAGCACUUUAAGCAGUGAAGAAGACUCUAGGGUUAAUACCCUUAGACGAUGACAUUAGCUGCAGAAUAAGCACCGGCUAACUCUGUGCCAGCCGCCGCCGUAA
rnacentral:rRNA from 1 species